GAUGAACGCUGGCGGCGUGCCUAAUACAUGCAAGUCGAGCGAACAGAUAAGGAGCUUGCUCCUUUGACGUUAGCGGCGGACGGGUGAGUAACACGUGGGUAACCUACCUAUAAGACUGGGAUAACUUCGGGAAACCGGAGCUAAUACCGGAUAAUAUUUCGAACCGCAUGGUUCGAUAGUGAAAGAUGGUUUUGCUAUCACUUAUAGAUGGAACCGCGCCGUAUUAGCUAGUUGGUAAGGUAACGGCUUACCAAGGCGACGAUGCGUAGCCGACCUGAGAGGGUGAUCGGCCACACUGGAACUGAGACACGGUCCAGACUCCUACGGGAGGCAGCAGUAGGGAAUCUUCCGCAAUGGGCGAAAGCCUGACGGAGCAACGCCGCGUGAGUGAUGAAGGUCUUCGGAUCGUAAAACUCUGUUAUUAGGGAAGAACAUACGUGUAAGUAACUGUGCACGUCUUGACGGUACCUAAUCAGAAAGCCACGGCUAACUACGUG
rnacentral:rRNA from 1 species